rnacentral:tmRNA from 1 species
GCACGCAGAGGCUGACCAACUGGCCUCUAUAAAAGUUGGUCAAACACUAUAAACGCAACUGAUAAUCAGUAUGCUUUGGCAGCCUAAGAACUGUCAAUGGAUGAUAGAAGCGAAUGCCAAUAGCGUCUUGAAAUCCAUCGUAAAAUUUGGCUAGUCUUUAGAAUGGCAACUAUUUUAGAGACGAAAUUUUAGUUGCAAUAACUAAUUACAGGUUUGUUUAUUGUCCUGUGUUAGUCUAAAUUGAACAAUAAACUAAGCGUGUAGA